rfam:Aspergillus tubingensis CBS 134.48 unplaced genomic scaffold ASPTTscaffold_1, whole genome shotgun sequence.
CUCGAUCAAAUGAUGAAAUAUUUCGGAUGUAAACUCACAGACCUGUUCCGAAUUGCGCAAACAAUUCAUGUGGAUAUUUUCCGUUGCCUUCCUUCUGAAUGAUCGA